GCUGGCGGCGUGGAUUAGGCAUGCAAGUCGAGCGAUCCUUGCUUGAUAUUUACUGGAGUGCUUGCACAAAGGUAAAUGGAUAGCGCUGGAUAGCGGCAAACGGGUGAGUAAUGCGUGAACAACUUUCCCUUAAGUCGGGCAUAGCAUCGUGAAAAUGGUGGUAAUUCCCGAUAGUCUCUGAUAGUCGCAUGAUUAUUAGAGUAAAGGUGGGGAUCCUUCGGGACCUGCCGCUUAAGGAUGGGUUCGCGUCCUAUCAGCUUGUUGGUGGGGUAAUGGCCUACCAAGGCAUUUGACGGGUAGCCGGCCUGAGAGGGUGACCGGCCACACUGGGACUGAGACACUGCCCAGACUCCUACGGGAGGCUGCAGUCGAGAAUCUUCCUCAAUGGACGAAAGUCUGAAGGAGCGACGCCGCGUGCAGGAUGAAGGCUUUCGGGUCGUAAACUGCUUUUGUUAGGAAAGAAAACCAUAAGAUUAAUAGUCUUAUGGCUGACGGUACCUAAAGAAUAAGCCACGGCCAACUCCGUGCCAGCAGCCGCGGUAAUACGGAGGUGGCAAGCGUUACUCGGAAUUAUUGGGUGUAAAGGGUAAGUAGGCGGUCUAGUAAGUGAGAGGUGAAAUCCUGCGGUUCAAUCGCAGAACUGCCCUUCAAACUACUAGACUUGAGAUAGGAAGAGGGAAACGGAAUUAGCAGUGUAAGGGUGAAAUCUGUAGAUAUUGCUAAGAACACCAACGGCGUAGGCAGUUUCCUGGUCCUAUUCUGACGCUAAAUUACGAAAGCUAGGGGAGCGAACAGAAUUAGAUACUCUGGUAGUCCUAGCCGUAAACGAUGAGUACUAGGUGUUGGCCCUUCGGGGUCAGUGUCGAAGCUAACGCGUUAAGUACUCCACCUGGGGACUAUGGUCGCAAGGCUAAAACUCAAAGGAAUUGACGGGGACCCGCACAAGCGGUGGAACAUGUGGUUUAAUUCGAUGAUACGCGAAGAACCUCACCCAGGCUUGACAUGCUUGUCGUACCUCUAUGAAAGUAGAGGGUCGGUUCGGCCGGACAAUGCACAGGUGCUGCAUGGCUGUCGUCAGCUCGUGUCGUGAGAUGUUGGGUUAAGUCCCGCAACGAGCGCAACCAUUGCCCUAUGUUGCCACCCCACUUUAUCUAGCUAGCUAGAGGGUGGGCGCACUCUUAGGGGACUGCCCGGGAUAACCGGGAGGAAGGUGGAGAUGACGUCAAGUCAGUACGGCCCUUAUGCCUGGGGCUACACACGUGUUACAAUGGGUGAUACAAAGGGUUGCCAACCCGCGAGGGGGAGCUAAUCUCAAAAAGUCAUCCUCAGUUCGGAUCGGAGUCUGCAAUUCGACUCCGUGAAGCUGGAAUCGCUAGUAAUGGAAGAUCAGCUCGCUUCCGUGAAUACGUUCCCGGGUCUUGUACACACCGCCCGUCAAGCGAUGAAAGCCGGGGGUACCCGAAGUCCUGUGUAGGCAGGCCGAAGGUAAAACUGGUGAUUGGCGCUAAGUCGGAACAAGGUA
rnacentral:rRNA from 1 species